AGCAGUGACCCAUCCUCACAUCUUGUGCCACGUGUCACGGAACUCCUGCCUGGUUAUGUUCAGAGCUGGCGCAGAAGCUACUGGGGACUUGACCUGAGGGAAGAAAAGAUUUGAGUUGGCUCCAAUCCCAUUAGCACAACUAGCUGGAGAUAAGCCAUCUGUCACUGCUGCUGCUGGCUUCAACUGCCACUCUAAUUGACAAUGAACCCAGAGACCUGUAAUAAUUGUGGCUGCUCAGUGACUUCGACAGGUAAUGCCUUCCUUUUAGAAUCCAUCAAGCCCCAUCUGUGCCUGCUUGGUGCUUCUCUCCCGGGAUGCUGCUCUCUGGGAGCCUGCAGAGCUCUGCCCAGACCAAGGGCUCGCCUCAUUAGGGAGGCUUUGCUGGGGCCCAGGGACGGCAGGCCCACAGUGAAAUUGAAAACCUCCUACAACUUGUUGUAAGAUUUCAAUCCUAUCGUCAGCCAUUGGCAACAUCUGUCAUUCAGCCCAACCUGUUUUGGGGAGAUU
rnacentral:lncRNA from 1 species